CAGUCGCCGCGGUAAUACGAAGGGUGCAAGCGUUAAUCGGAAUUACUGGGCGUAAAGCGUGCGUAGGCGGUGAGUUAAGUCUGCUGUGAAAUCCCCGGGCUCAACCUGGGAACUGCAUUUGUGACUGGCAAGCUAGAGUAUGGCAGAGGGGGGUGGAAUUCCGCGUGUAGCAGUGAAAUGCGUAGAUAUGCGGAGGAACACCGAUGGCGAAGGCAGCCCCCUGGGCCAAUACUGACGCUCAUGCACGAAAGCGUGGGGAGCAAACAGGAUUAGAUACCCGAGUAGUCCCUGUCUCUUAUAC
rnacentral:rRNA from 1 species